GGACGUGCACAAAGAACAUGCUCAGCUGCAAUUACAUCACCUCACUGGACACCUCAAUGGACAUUGACUUUCACUGGGUGUAACCAAUCACCCACAUACACCACCAACUUGGAACUGUAUUUAAAUUACUGGUCCUGCCACAUUGAAGAGUUUUGUUCCAAGGACAUCAGUGACACUAGCCUCCUUGCUGACCAUCCCUGGACUGACUCCACCAUUCCCUGAGGUCCAGCCGUCAACUGGAGAGAACCACAAGACAAGGACAAUGUCUGCUCUUUGGCUAAGAGAAAUCUCAUGGUGUUGGAGGUAUCCCUCCUCUCCCAGGUAUAAAAGUCCACGUUUAUCUUAACAUGUAGAUUUCUAAGGGCCCUGAGACUGCUUCUCAGCCUUGAUAGUAACCAGAAUGUGAUAUUCCUAGUGAAGCCUAGAAGAAUGUUUCUAACAGGACCUGAUUUUUUCCAGACAACACAACCCUUACUCAUGGGACACAAGCACAAGCCUUAAGCCAAGACCUUUCUCUUCCCUCUACUGAAAUGCAAC